UAUUUUAUGCCCCUUUUCAGGGUGCUUACUAAGGGGUGGGGCCAGUUCCAACCACAGGCUGCAUCCAUACACAUGGAGGGGGACUGGAUGGUAAAGGAUGGGGAUUGCUGGGCUGGGUCCAACACCCUGAAAAAACUUUUCAGAAGUUACCAGACCUGGGACGUGAACUUGGGCCUCAUGCGUGGCAUAUCGACAGCAUUAAUGCUUGGCCAUCCAGCUGCCUUAAUAAAAAGUUAAGAUAUCUAAUAUCCAAAAAUAUCAUUUAUCUGAAAUGGCUCCAAUCCUAACUUUGUAUCCUCUGCUGUACUUAAAAUUAUUUACUAUAUACUCAUAUAUAAAUCAAGAAAUUAAAAAAAAUUUUUGAAAAAAGGAAGUUAGCUUAUAUAGGGG
rnacentral:lncRNA from 1 species